rfam:Canis lupus familiaris chromosome 34, whole genome shotgun sequence.
GUGCUUGCUUUGGGAGCACAUACACUAAAAUUGGAAAUAUACAGAGAAGAUUAGCAUUGUCUCUGUGCAGGAUGACGUGCAAAUUCGUGAAGCAUUCCAUAUUUUU